CCUACGGGUGGCAGCAGUGGGGGAUAUUGCACAAUGGGGGAAACCCUGAUGCAGCGACGCCGCGUGGGCGAAGAAGUAUUUCGGUAUGUAAAGCCCUAUCAGCAGGGAAGAAGAAAUGACGGUACCUGACUAAGAAGCCCCGGCUAACUACGUGCCAGCAGCCGCGGUAAUACGUAGGGGGCAAGCGUUAUCCGGAUUUACUGGGUGUAAAGGGGGCGCAGACGGCAGCGCAAGCCAGGAGUGAAAGCCCGGGGCCCAACCCCGGGACUGCUCUUGGAACUGCGCGGCUGGAGUGCAGGAGGGGCAGGCGGAAUUCCUGGUGUAGCGGUGAAAUGCGUAGAUAUCAGGAGGAACACCGGUGGCGAAGGCGGCCUGCUGGACUGCGACUGACGUUGAGGCCCGAAAGCGUGGGGAGCAAACAGGAUUAGAUACCCGGGUAGUC
rnacentral:rRNA from 1 species